rnacentral:rRNA from 1 species
CGUUAGAAGUAGCAGAAAAUUUAUUAGGGAUAAGCUUAAUAUUUUAUACUUAUAUAGAAAUAGGAAUAGUACUAUUAAAGGAUUAAUAGUGUCUUUGUGUUUUGUAACUUAUUGNUUGUCCUUAUAUAUUAAUUGGCUAUAUAAGGGUGUCUUAAAAUUUUUUUUGUUAGUAAUAAUGGUAGAAUUAGUAGAUUUGAUUUUAGUAUGUAAAUUUAGGUGUGUUAUUUAAGAUAUGUUUUCUAAUAGGUUUUGGUAAGGAACUCGGCAAUAAUCUUUCUUAACUGUUUAUCAAAAACAUUUCUUUAAGUAAGGAUUUAAAGUAUNUUCUGCCCACUGAUUAUCUAUUAANUGGCCGCNGUACCCUGACUGUGCUAAGGUAGCNUAAUUCUUUGGUUUUUAAUUGGGAUCUGGAAUGAAUGAAUGAAUGAGGAGGAGCUGUCUACCAAUAGAGUUUGAAAUUAAAUUUUUAGUAAGAAUGCUAGAAUAGGCUAGUGGGACGAUAAGACCCUAUAAAGCUUUACUAAUCUUUAGUAAAAAUUUUUACUACUUUUAUGAGUGGAUUUAGUUUUACUGGGGCGGUAGCUAGUUAACUUAGUUAGUUUUCUCUAUUUUAGGAUCCAUCUUUGAUGAAAUAAGAUUAAGUUACUUUAGGGAUAACAGCAUGAUAUAUCUAUGGAGUUCUAAUCGAAGGAUAUGGUUGUGACCUCGAUGUUGAAUUAACCUUAUUGUAAGGUGAAGAAGCUUUAUGAGUUAGUCUGUUCGACUAUUAAAGGGUUACGUGAUUUGAGUUCAAACCGGUUUAAGCCAGGUUGGUUUCUAUCUACUGGGGUUAGAAAGUCUUUUAGUACGAAAGGACCAAAGACUUUAGAUUUUCUAUAUAAGAACAGUUUUGGCCUAUUUUAGGGCUU